UCUGUGGAUGGAGUGGAGCUCAUAGUGGGAGGUGGAGACCACAGCCUCCAAACUGGGGAGGUUUGCAUCAAGUGGGCUGCUCUUUUAGACACAAGUCACUUCACAGUCACUGCACAGCAGGCCAAAGCAAGCCCUCCUCACGGAAAGAUGAGCCAGCCCAGAAAGUUCUCCACUCAGCCGCUGUGAUGUGUGGAAUGCUGGAGGUGCCCACAUGGUACGUGCCCAAAAUGGCAGCACACUGACACAUCAGCUGUGGGGAAGGCUGAGCUGGAGGAAGGGCCUGGGAGGAGCAGAUCACAAGCAUCAUGCUGUGUAGGUGACUGGACACUGCUCUGGAGGGCUGGAGAGGGGCCAGAUUCCAGUGGGAAGCAGGCAGAGGGCAAAGCCUAAUCUACUGAAGCAUACCUGCUGGCACUCUGCUUUUGCCCUCCUUCUUCUGCCCUGCUGACAUGGUAGCAUGGAAGGAAUUUGCAUAAUACAAUCACGGUUUCACAAUCCACAAAAGAAAACCUGAGUGAUAGCAAACUUUGUGACUCAUUUUUCUUGUAAACACUUUGUAUUUAUUAUCUUAGUGAGAAUUCAAGACAUAUAUGCAUGAGGCAUACAGCAACACAUCUGGCACGCAUCCAGAACAGGCCUUAAGGAAAACAAACUCAUGUUGAUAAAGUCAUAAAGCAGAUCCUUUGCAGAAGUAAAAAAAGAAAUCUAGGGUGGACAUCAGCAAGUGCUUGGUCAUAUACUGGCACUGACCUCUUGCAUCUGUGCCUUUUUCCUGAGCUCCUGUUAAACACUGCCAUUCUUAACAAUGCACAGAAAAACCUAAAACAUUUGAAGAAAAAGCAAAUAGUCUUUGCAUAACUAGGCAGACAAAUACUGUGCUAACAGUAAACUUGGAUAUCCCCAUGAAAAUGCAUUUAUGAGUAUACUUUUUUUGGUAAUAUUUAUAUGUGCUACAGCCUGAAGAACAGGGUGGGUUCUACAAAUCCACACCCCGUUUCCUGUUGACUUUGAAAGCAGCAUUCAUUGAACAGAACAGUUUUAUUCACAUACUUUUCAGCUACUAAUGUGAAUUCUUCUGAGAGUUCCCGACAGGCAUGGUCAUUGUUCAGUGUCCUUGAUGAAGAUUCCAAUACUCCACCAAGCACAGGAUAGACAACAGCAACCCUUCUUAUGAAGCUGGAGAUGUCUUUGAUGAAGUUUUGCCCAGCUGGAUGCAGUGCUAUCCUGGGAGCUGGUGUUCUGCUGGUGUGAAACUCUUUGCCUUUAUUUUUUAAUACCCGAAAAACUGACCUAUGUACAUGUCAGAAAAAUGCACUGCUUUGCAGUAUAAGAUAAAUAACAGCUAUUUUUGAAAUACUGUGUUCUCCCCAAAAAGGUACUGGCUAGCUUAGAGGGGAAGGGAACCAUGCAUGUGGGUCAAGCCAACAGCAAUGCUCCCUGUAACACCACUGGGAUGGAUGGGGUUAAGUCUUCCAUGUGGAAAGAAGGCUAAGUCAGUCAGCUUCUGCUCAGUGACAGAAGUCAGUGUCAAUACAUAACAGCCCCUGCACAGGCUGUGAGAGUGACCAGAGUUACAUAAUGACAAUUUUGCAAAGGCAGAUUAAGAAGAUAAAACAGAAAAAUAAAUUAUAAAUACAAACAAGAAUUCACCACAAGACAGGAGAAGACAUAAUUUGAACAGACACAAAUUACAAAGUGUAACUAUACAGCCUUAAAAAUGCAAAUGUGCUUAUGUACAAGAGUAGUUAAGAGAAGGAACUCUCACCAGUGACCUUAGAGGUAGCUAUGAAACAGCAUCAGCCUUUUUCUUGCUAUCUUGGACCCAUGAAAAAUACUGUUUAGGAUGGAGCCUGACAUGAAUUGACCAGCAAAGUUACUGUUUGCCUUCACAGCAACUAACAUGUUUAAUUCAGCUCCUCCAAAGCCAGCCAAAGGUAAUAUCCCCUCAGUGAGAUGGGUCAUCCCCAUGUAACCAGCCACUGGAUGUGCUGCCACAGCUCCAUUAUUCUGGAACUGAAAUGAGGCCAUGAAAUGAAAUGAAAUGGAAAGAAAGUACAAGACACACACAGAGGAGAAGAAGGGGCUGACUUUUUCUGCCUUUUCUGAACAGGAGAAAAAAGCCUCCCAGGAGAUGGGAAGUCCCCUGCAGCUGCUCUGCAGACAAGCCCCAGGAGCCUUAGGCAUGAAGGGCUGCAAGAAAAAAUGUGUUGGUGGCAAUGACCUUGCAUAGAAAUGGAAGGAAGCUUGUCCCUUCCUGUCAGAAAGGAGUCCCUUUGGGCUCCCAGUGCUUUCUCUGUGAGUGAGAGCAGCCCCCGCAGAAAAGGGGGAGGUGCUGGAAGUGGUUGGACAGGGUGGUCAGAGGCAGAGGAGUGCUGUCCUCCCUGAGUUCCUGUUACCAUGCUGACCCAGCCAUUGGAUCCAUCCACAUCUGGCUUCAGGAGAGCCCUGCUAUGGGGGAGCAGCUCCAUGUAACACCAUCAGCUGCAGAUCAUAAUCCCCUCUUUGCUAAGUGAACCCCACAUUUGAGAUCCUGCUUCGUGUUUUUUCCAGGUGACCUCAGGGAACGCAAAAUCAGCACAGAGCUUAUUUUUCAUAUCCAUGCUGGCUGUGAACAUGGGGACAAACUUCUGCCAUGCAUCCAUAACUUUGUGCUGUGGGAGCUGUGUCUCCCCACAGCACACACACUUGUGGCUGUGGUUGUGCUGCUGAGGGGUGUUGGUUACUGGUGUGAGAGGGAAAGCUGUGAGGGUGACCUUUGGCAUUAAGAGUUAAGGCAAACAAAAAAGUGAGAAAUAACAAGUCUGCCUUCAAGGGCAAGGACACUGUGUUCUUCCUCACCAGAGACCUCUCUGCAGAUGCACCGACUGACUCCAAAGAGAAUAAAGGAGAAGUAAAUAGGGGAAACAGAAAAAAGAGGGUUGCACUUAACAACAAACUAUUUUUUGUACUUUACAACCUGUUUCUACUCUCUGAAGCCUAAGUGCUAUGGGAAAGACCUAUAUCAGCUGCUCCAUGCCUCCCUCAAGGGUGUGGGUACUGUAUGUGUGCCCUGUGCCCCUCAGCAGGGCUGUCACCAUUCCCACCUUUUCCACAUGUGAGGAGUGGAGGAGUGUGGAUGCCCAGAAGGAGAAAACAGAAGGGGGACAGUCUGACCAAGAGUGGGGGUUGUGUCCCAUAGGCACAGGUGUAGGAGCUGACUUCACGUGACAGCAUCUUGGUUUGCAUCCUGUUUUGUGGUCAUGAUGCCAUCCGCCCUGCCUAUUUCAUCAUCUUGUGGUGGGCUAUGGUGAGCAACUGCAGAAAAGUGCACACAGGCUGUGAAUCUGGAAGGAGCUCUCAAUCUGCAAAGACACAGGAAGUCAGGGUUUGUUUUGUUGUUUCUUUUUUGUUUUAAGGUUUUCUGGUUUGUCAAAUUUUUUUUAAUUUUUUGUUUUGUUUGGGUUUUUUUUUUUUGUUUUUGUUUUUUUGUUUGUUCGUUUUGUGUGUGGGUUUUCUCGGGUUUUUUUGUUUCUUUAUUCUGUGUGCUGUUUUGGUUUUAAAACAAGGCAAUUUAAUUGUCAGGUGUUUUAAGGUGUCCAGUGGGGGAGAAACUGCUGUGGUUAUGGCAGAGCAUGGUGAUGGAAAGGGAGAGGUGAGGGAAAUUCUGUGCUGAGGAGGAGACAGAGGACCUCAGGGAAGGGGUGAGAGGUGGAGAAGCCUCCCUGAAGUCCCAGGGUGUGGGACCAGUUGGUCUCAGGACUAGCAAUGUAAUCAUUGCACCCUGAGUUGCAUGUUCCUGCCCAGCAGAGGCCACAUGAAGCAGAAAUCACAGUGUGUGUAGCAAUGGUGGCAUCUGGGUCUCCACCCAGGAGUUCACAGGCUCACAGAACUGCAGAUCUGUAUAAUAAAAUUGGCAGUGAUAGUGUCAAGUCUAAAAACCCAGAAGGCUCAGAUGUGAAAUAGCCACAGAAGUCUGAAUGCUCAGUCGAAUUAAUAACGUAAACUUUCAGUUUUGGCUAAGGGCUGACUCACUACGAAAACCACCUUUUUUUUGUGGUAUCUCAGUGAUUGUCAAAAAUUGGAAAAUUACAUCAUCCAUCAAAACAACAAGUAAAAUACCUUGUCAGGCUUUUAAAACCUCAGUUAAAAAUGUCUUCACAUUGUACAUGUGAAAACGGACUCACAAGAGCCAUCAGUCAAUGACCCAUUGCAGUUCUGGGUAGCACAGAGAAUCUCUAGAAACCCUCUUUGUAAAUUAAUCCCCCAAAUGAUGAAGCAAUAAGCAAUGCACUGAAUCUAGUAUUGGCAUCUAUAAAAAUCAUUACAUCUAUCCAUGGCAUUCUCCACAGUGCCUGUUUCUGAUUUUCUUACUUCAGUUUUUUCUUUUCUUUUUUUAGCUAUUUUUUAGAAUUGUAAUGUGUUUUGAGCAGCAGUUCUGGGUUUUGAACAGUAGUUUGACUCUUCCUUCUGAAUGAUAUCUUAACAACCAAGAGCAUCCAAAAAUUAAAGCAAAAAAUUGCAUUUAAGCAUUUCUGGUAAACAGUAACCAUACUGAUCUUCAAAUUUUUUUUGUUGUUCAAUUUUUUUUUGUUGUUAUUUUUGGUCUAGCUAUCCUAGGUUGUAAGAUGUUUGAGGUGAUAGUUAUUGGUUCAUGACACCAAAUUGACAUUACUAUUAUUAUUAUUAUUAUUAUUAUUAUCAUUGCUGUUGUUGACUUCAUUACUGUGUGAAAAAUUACACUACUAAUUUACAGAUAAUUUAUAACAUGAUUUUUGGAAAUGUGAGGUAUACAUGUAGUUGGGGCAUUCACCAAAAUUAUACAUUUCAGCUGACACUUACAAGAACUUAAAGGAAGAUGGCAUUUUUUCAUAGAUGCAUAGGCAAAAUGACCUGCAGGCUGAAAACGCAUAAGGCACAGCUUUCCCCCUAAAACCAGAGCAACAGUAUUGCUUCUCUUUCAUUAGUACAGGGUUCAUUACUAGAGACAGAUUGCAAACAUCCUUAACUGUGAUUUCCUAUAUUCAUUCUAAUAUGACCCCACCUGGAGUACUGCAUCCAGCUUUGGGACCCCCACCACAAUAAGGACAUGGACCUGUUGGAACAGUCCAGAGGAGGUCAGGAAGAUGACCCUGUGAAAACAGUUUGAGAGAGUUUGGGUUCUUCACCCUGGAAAAAAGAAGUCUCUGGGGAGAUUUUCUACCACCUUCCAGGACCUAAAUGGACUACAAGAGAGGUGGACAGGGACUUUUUACAAGGCCAUGUAGUGAUAAGACAAGGGAUAACGCCUUUAAACUGAAAGAAAAUAGGUUAGAGUAGACAUUAGAAAGAAAUUCUUUCUGUGAGGGUGGUGAGGCACUGGCAGAGGGUGCUGAGAGAAACUGUGGGUGCCCCAUCCUGGGUGGUGUUCAAGGCAAGGCUGGAUGGGCUCUGAGCAACCUCAUGAAAGUUGUCCCUGCCAAUGGCAGGGGGUUUGGAAUGAGACAAUCUCUAAAGUCCCUUCCAACCCAAAGCAUGAUAUAUGAUUCUCUGAUUUCAUUUUUCAAUUAUUUUAAUAUCAUCCCAACAGAAUAGGACCCUAUAAAUUCAGCAGGUUGUAAACCUAGUAUUUGGGAAAAAUGUGAACUGAGAAAUGGAGCCAUUGGCAGCCAGGAAAUGUGGUCUGUUCAGUGACCUCCCAUGAUGCCAAGACCUUGGUGGUUAAAGACUCUCCCAGGAGCAGAACAUGGUGUGCUGUCUACAGAGUAAGAAAAUGGGCGAGUUUCAUAAAAGCAGAACCUCUAGGCAUUGCAGUUGUGGCACAAAAAGGUAUUUUCUACCUGCUAUAUUCUUUUUGUCUACUUAGGUCUCAUCCACAGUCCCAGGGUUUUGGUACUAAGGCAUGUUUCAGAGCAGAGUUUUUUGGAGGGAGUGCUCUCAGCCAUGAAGAGAAAGACCUUCUCGUGCCCUUCUGUUAAUAGCUAAGGUCAUUCCAGCUGAAUGCAUCUGGCUGCUCUUCCAUCCCCACCAACUACCAGGGUAUGGUCACACCCAGUGCAAGGCCUUCAGCACUGUGUCUCACAAUAUCCUUGUAAGCAAACUCAGGCAGUGUGGACUGGACGAGUGGGCAGUGACAUGGAUUGAAAACUGGCUGAGUGGCAGAUCCCAAAGGAUAAUCAGUGGCACAGGGUCUAGUUGGAGGCCUGUCACUAGUGGUGUCACCCAAGGGUCAGUGCUGGGCCCAGUAUUGUUUACUUUACUCCUCAGCAACCUGGCGGAAGGGGCAGAGGCCUGCUCAGGGUGUUCACUGAUGACACAAAGCUGAGGAGGGGUCUGCAGCCCUUCAGAGGGACCUGGAGAGAUGGGCAGACAAGAAUUGUCUGAAGUUCAACAAAGGCAGGUGCAGCGUCCUGCACCUGGGGAGGAACAGCCCCUGGCACAGGCUGGGCCCAACCUGCUGGAAAGCAGGACAAGGACCUGGGGGUCACGGUGGACAACAAGCUGUCCGUGAGCCAGCAGUGCCCUUGAGGCCAGGAGGGCCAGUGGUGUCCUGGGAUGCAUUGGGAAGAGCUUUGUCAGCAGAUCGAGGGAGGAGAUCCUGCCCUUCUGCUCAGGCCAGCUGGUAAAGCAAAACCUGUAGGAGAUGCACAGAGCUCAGUGCAAUAUCAGGAAGCUGAUACCAAAGUUUUCCCAGGCUAGUUCCCAGGAAAGGGCUGUUCUGUGUUCUUGGAGUGGAGACAAAGACCUGUUCUGCAGAAGGGAAACACCGGAAACAGAAACCCAAGGAUUACAAAAAUCCUGUGAAAAUGAAGGCUUUGCAGGAGACAGUUCAGAUGAAGUCUGUAAAACCUAGAAAACAGAUGUUGGUUCUGGGGCCCAAACUAACAAGGCAUGAGGUGCUCUGCUGCUGGAGGUCCUUAUACAGAUCAUUUGCCUUCAGGAGGUGGGACUUUGAGAAACACUGAAUCUGAAAGCUGAAUUCACUAAAGCUGAAUAAGAAACUGUGAAAGUUGGAAACACUGAGGGAGACCAUUCUGGGAAGUUCUUUAAGUUUCAUCCCCUAGAUGUAUAACUGAUUAAUCUACAGUCUUCACUUUAACAGUUUGACUGUAAUGGUUCCUCAUAUGAUCAACUCAUAAACAGUUAAGAUGUCA